UACGUAGGUGGCAAGCGUUGUCCGGAUUUAUUGGGUUUAAAGGGUGCGUAGGUGGCCCUGUAAGUCAGUGGUGAAAUAUCUCAGCUUAACUGAGAGGGUGCCAUUGAUACUGCGGGGCUUGAGUACAGAUGAGGUAGGCGGAAUUGACGGUGUAGCGGUGAAAUGCAUAGAUAUCGUCAAGAACACCGAUAGCGAAGGCAGCUUACCAAGCUGUAACUGACACUGAGGCACGAAAGUGUGGGGAUCAAACAGG
rnacentral:rRNA from 1 species